rnacentral:lncRNA from 10 species
GAAGAAAACAUUUAUGCUUGGUCUGCCAUCUUGAACCAAAAGUCUAGAAGGGGGUUUAGGAUGUUACAAACAUAGCUUUUUGAGUGAAAAAACAAAUCACUAAAAUAUUUUUUCUAUAAAUAACUCUAAAAGAGACAUCUCUUUUCCUUUAAAUGUUAGUCACAUAAAUAAAAUAUAGGAAUGUAGUAGUGUUUGUCGAAGACUAGAAUGAAGUAGUGAGCACUACUGUCCCUACAGAGGCUGAGUGUUGGGGCUGAGCCUGUAUUGGCAGCAUUGGUCAUAUACACUGUCUGCCUCUAUUAAAAUGUAACUACUAUUAGCAAAUGAAUUAAAUACUUCAGUUGCCUAGUAACUAAUCCAAUCUGAGAAAGAAGCAAAAAUAGAAUACAUAAAUUUAGAAAUUUUAGGCCACGUGCCAAGCAAAAUAUUCUUGCUAUAUCCUUUUGAUCAUCUGCGAUUUGAAUGGAAGAAAGAGUAUUUUGGUGUCAAGGCAACAUUUGUGUUGACAUUUCUUGGAAAAAGUGAAUAUUGCUUGAUAACUGAACAUAUAUGAGAAAUCAUCUGGCUUCCCAGGGACCUCUGGCCACACUAUCCCUCAAAAUCACCAAAUGGAAGAAACUCUGACUAGUAGCAAUUUAUUUUUCUGUCUUAAUUAAAAAGCCAAAGGACAUUAUGUGAUUUCAGCCACAUUGUACUGUUAGAAGAAAAGUAUAAACCAUCUGCUUUACCCAUUUUCAUGAAAAUAAAAAUAUCAAGCAGCUUUUCAACAAGACACAAAAAAAUUAAACAAUUUAAUGUUUUGUGUACGUGAAGUAAUUACUGGGGGGCCAUAUAUUACAGUUCAAAGAAAUACCAUGAUAUUGACAUUAAAUGUGAUGCCAGUUACUUCAAAUAUUACUUUUUUCUGUCUCCAUUAAAAAAAUUUAAAAAAAGUAUUUACAGAUGACAUAUUACAAAAUAGUAAGUAAAAAAGAAAAUGAAAAAAUUAUUCCCCUCCAAAUAAAAAGAAUGUAAAACUUAAAGAAGACUUAUAAGACUAGUACAAUGAAUUUCAUAUACUCUGGACCCAGAUUGAUUACUUUAUAACUUCUCUCCCUGUCUCCCUUUCUCUCUCUCUCUCUUACACACACACACACACACACACACACACACACACACACACACACACACACAAAUGUAUGCGUAUACAUAUAUACACAUUCUCCCCUAAACCAUUUGGGAAUUAGUUUUGUCUUUAAAUAUUUCAUUAUGUAUUUCCUGAGAACAUAACCAAGCACAAUUAUACAAUUCAGGAAAUUUAACAUUGGUAUAAUAUUGUAUCGGUUCAAUUGUAUUAGUAUUGUAUUGAUACAGUAUCACUAUCCAUAUUCACAUUUUGCCACUUGUCCCAAUAAUGUCCUUUACAGACAUUUCUUUUUCCCUUGAUCCAGGAUUCAGUCCAGUAGCGUGCAUUGCAUUUGGUUAUGUUUCUUUGAUCUUCAGUAAUGUGAAACAGUCCCUCAGCCUUUCUUGUCUUUCAUGACAUUGACGUUUUUGAAGAAAACCAAGAAUGUCUCUUAUUUUGGGUUUUUGUGAUAUUUCUUCAUGAUUAGAUAGAAGACACAUUUUCAGUCAUUAAUUGCCAUCUUCUUUUGAAUAAUCUAAGUCCUUAAGAGGACCAUCAGGUAGAAGGUGGUUAGCAAACAUCAGAGCCUGUCAGUCCAAAGCGUAGCUGGGUCAGGUGUGGCUCUUGACUGGGGGUGGCUGGCAACCUUGCCAGCCCAGGCCCAUGUGCUGAGGGCUAUGGCCCCGGCUCUCUGGUGUAUCACCACUUGGCACACAGUAGGCACUUCCUAACGAAGUAUGCAGGGACUCAUUCCAAAAUAGGAAAGCAAUCAUUUGAGCAUGAAACCUAUUUUUUCCACUCUCUUUUAGAAAUAUAAAAGCUCAUAAAAGAAGAGGCCACAAACAUUAGCAAAAAUAUUUGGGCUAUCUAAAUGUUCUUCUAUUACUAAUACUUAGCAAGUUAAGUAUAUAUGUGUGUGUGUGUAUAUAUAUACACAUAUAUAUGUGUAUAUAUAUACACACACAUAAAUACUUUAAGUUCUAGGGUAUAUGUGCACAACGUGCAGGUUUGAUACAUAGGUAUACGUAUGCCAUGUUGGUUUGCUGCACCCAUCAACUCAUCAUUUACAUUAGGUAUUUCUCCUAAUGCUAUCCCUCCCCCAGCCCCCCAACCCCUACAGGCCCCGGUGUGUGAUGUUCCCCCGCCUUGUGUCCAAGUGAUCUCAUUGUUCACCUCCCACCUAUGAGUGAGAAUAUGCGGUGUUUGGUUUUCUGUCCUUGUGAUAGUUUGCUGAGAAUGAUGGUUUCCAGCUUCAUCCAUGUCCCUGCAAAGGACAUGAACUCAUCUUUUUUAUGGCUGCAUAGUAUUCCAUGGUGUAUAUGUGCCACAUUUUCUUAAUCCAGUCUACCAUUGAUGGACAUUUGGGUUGGUUCCAAGUCUUUGCUAUUGUGAAAAGGUUUUAAACUGAUACCAACUUGAACUGUUUAAAGAAAGGUUGGCUGAUAAUUUGAAGGGUGAGAAUUAUGAGUAAACAUCACUAGCAAUGGAAAUAAGUUAGUAAAAUAGGCUAAAAAGGGAAGUUCACAUUCAGGCCAGUGGGCUAAAUGUAUAUAACCUGCCCAUCUUAAAGUCAGGUUUUGCCCCCACAUCCACGUUUUCAAUGAUGGAUUAGGUUAGGGAAGGUUUUUGUGGGAACUGUGUGUGUAUGUAAGAGCUUAUGUUUACAUGUGGUUGGAUUUGGAAGAGGAAAUAUUCAAAGACCUGUUUCUUGUUCUCAGGAUGUAAGAGUUUCAUGUCUAAGUGCCCCAGGGCCACAGAUUUUUCACUGGCAUGGCCUAUUAUCACCCACAUCCACAGGCAUGUGGACAUUAUAAAUUCUGGACAGUGUCAAACAGUUCUUCUUGGCCUCUGUAUGCAACCUCUUUAGUGUCCAACUUCAUUCCUUUCUGCAGCUCUUUCCUUCUCUUCCUCCAUUCUCAUCUUUCUGCAGUUUUUGCCAAUCUCAAAAAUGCAGGCUGGAAACAUUAUAGCAAUUGCCCGAGGGCUGUGAUGUCAAGUUCUUUGGACUUCUCGCCAUAAUGCUUUGUGCAUCCUUCUGAUUUGCAACUCUUAUUUUAUUAUGGCUUGAACCUAAGUCAUCGUUCUGAGCUUAAGUUCUCACCUGCUCUCUUCAGCUUCCAUAGUACCUUCUCAACUGCUUCCCUUCUCCUCUGCUUUGUGCAAAGACCAAGGGAAGAGUGGGCAGCUCUUUGGAACAAAGAUGUUGCUUCUCAGUCUUUUAUUUAUUCAAAAAGCAUUUAUUGAGCAUCUACUAAGUGCCAGGCACUGUUCUUGGCAUUAGAGGUAGAGGUGAACAGGUCAGAUGAGCUCCCCACCCUCACAGAGUUUACAUUCCAGUGGGAAUCACUGGGUAGACUAAGAUGUAAAUACAGGAAGUUCAUAGUUUCCGAUGGAGAUAAGCAUUAUGAUGAGAAUCAAAUGGGUUAACAUGAAAGAUAGCAGGAAAUGGUUAGGGCACUGACCCUGGCUUCCCAGUCUGUCCUCUCAGAGAGGAUGCCCUCUCUAACUAUGGGUUUUGCUCUGGUACUCCUCUGCACAAGCUGCUCAUCUGUUCCCUCUUUUCCCUUAGGCUGGAUCCAGGGUAAGUAUGGGGGGAGAUGCCAGCAAGAGCCCAGGAGCUGCUUAGGAAAUGCUAACUUACUUGGAGUUUCUUGGAGACAAGACAGGGUGUGUAUCUCUCACAGGCAUAACCUGGGGGUCAAGGAACUGAAUGAUCCCAUUCGAUAAUCUGAGAACUUACUUCCUAAAGAAAAAGACUUAGUUCGUUCAAGGGGAAGCUAAUAGAGCAUGAUUUGUUUAACCUAAUUUUUAUGUGGAAAAAAAUCAGAACUAUGGUACAACAAAUUUAGAUUAGAUAACGUCUUGCUUAUACUUUCUAGACAUGAUGUGACUAUACUGUACUGUAGUUAACUCAGUGAUUUCUGUAACUCUUAGUAAUUACCGUUUCAAUUACAU